rnacentral:rRNA from 1 species
CAGGGAGCCCUAGCACAGGUGCUGCACGGCCGUCGUCAGCUCGUGCCGUGAGGUGUUGGGUUAAGUCCCGCAACGAGCGCAACCCCGCCGUUAGUGCCAGCGGUUCGGCCGGGCACUCUAACGGGACUGCCCGCGAAAGCGGGAGGAAGGAGGGGACGACGUCUGGUCAGCAUGGCCCUUACGGCCUGGGCGACACACGUGCUACAAUGCCCACUACAAAGCGAUGCCACCCGGCAACGGGGAGCUAAUCGCAAAAAGGUGGGCCCAGUUCGGAUUGGGGUCUGCAACCCGACCCCAUGAAGCCGGAAUCGCUAGUAAUCGCGGAUCAGCCAUGCCGCGGUGAAUACGUUCCCGGGCCUU